UACGGAGGGUGCAAGCGUUGUUCGGAAUCAUUGGGCGUAAAGCGCGUGUAGGCGGCUUGGCAAGUCAGUUGUGAAAGCCCGGGGCCCAACCCCGGAAUUGCAUCUGAAACUGCCUGGCUGGAGUCCCGGAGAGGAAGGCAGAAUUCCCGGUGUAGGGGUGAAAUGCGUAGAUAUCAGGAGGAACACCGGUGGCGAAGGCGCACAUCUGGCCCGAUACUGACGCUGAGGCGCGAAAGCUAGGGGAGCAAACGGG
rnacentral:rRNA from 1 species